CUCAGCCAUAACUAACUAACUA
rnacentral:siRNA from 1 species